rnacentral:lncRNA from 1 species
ACCUUUUGUUUUCCUUCUCUAUUAGCACCAUUAAAAAAAAGGACUUUGCUGAAAAAUAAAAAGAAAAAGAAAAUUUAUACAUAUGUAAUCAGUCUUUAUUUAGUCAUGUGGAGAUAUUGACAGAUGUUACAGUGUCGAUGUGGAUACACCCCCCACUAGUUUUCUCUGAUGGUCAUGUUAGAGAUAAUUGUGUGGAGAAUAAUGAUUUUGAGACGCUUGUGGCUACAUUGGUUGUUGCUAAUAAUACUGCUGAUGUGCCGAUUACUAGCCCUAACUUUACAUUUCGUCUACAUCUGUUGGGAAGAUAAUUGCCGGACUAAUGUGGUUGUUUUGGGCCCAAGGCAUGUGGUGAGUAAUGGGAAUGGUGUUAAGAAGACUGUUGAUGUUCCCGUCUGGCAAGGUAGUUUGUCCUAAUUCUGUUAAAUCUGCUAAAUCCUUUGGUCAAUGGGAAACAACUCCUCAUUUGUAGCUUGUAUUGUUAGUGGAUCUAUAUUUGAUGUGCUUCAGUCUUCUAAGUAUCUGAGGUAGUUCCAAACAGCUCUAAUUUGGCCAUGAGUACUCAACCUGAGAUAGUUCAAUGUGGAAGUCUUUUCAUAUGAAGAGGAGGAAUUUACUCAUGACGAAAAAGUUACUACUAGUGGUGCAAUGAAAACAUAAGGGUUCUCUUCCUGAUCUGGUUGAGUCCUAAGGCAACUCUGUUUUCAUAUGGAAAUGAGGAAUCUACUGAGGAGGAGAAAGUUACUACUAGUGGUGCAAGGAAACAUAAUGGUUCUCUUCCUAUUCUGGUUGAGUCUUAAGGCAACUCUGUUGAUCCAGCUACUGUUGCUCAUGUGCCUGUUUCUGAAUGUAUAUAAAUUGUUGGCAAGAAGAUGGCCUCAGAACAAUACUGUUGCAACCUUUGCAAUGACUGUUGGCUCCUCUUUUUUUCAUUGCUGAUGAUGCAAGUAAUCCAACAACUGUCAAAGGUAGAUAGGCUAUUUGUACUUUGUAGUACCUUUUAGCCCUACAAUGGUUAAAAUUUCUACUUGUCUUCUACUAUUGAUCCCUUACUAGUGGUCAGUGCCCUCCCAAUAUCCAAUAAAUGGUGACAUUGGUGGUACAAACGAGGAUGCUAUUAAGGUGAUUUCUUGUGAUUCUUUUGUGCCUCAUAAUACGGUCAGUAUAGGUAUGUAUAUGUUGAUCUAUUGUGAUCUGUAUAAUCUGGUUUAUACCCGGGGAAAAUUUGAACCUAGGAUCAGAUUUUGUUGUGGAAUGUUUGGAUUCUUUGUGAUUCUCAUGAAGUGAAAUUGAGACCAGUUGCUUGCGUUUAUAAAUAUCAGGACUCGGAAUGGAUACUGCUGUUGUUUAUUUAAUCUAUUCAUGGAUACUUUGGGUGCAUUUGGAUGAUGUUUUUUCACUCCAUAGUUUCCCCUAAUCCUGAGAGGAUCUUUAAUGAUUGUGCUGAUGCCUCUGAAAAAUAUGGCAGUGUUCCCUCUCUUGGUCAUGGAAGGCUUGCUUGUCUGAUGUAUUCGAACUGCUGACUUGAUCUAAGAUUUACCAGAUUCAGUUUUCCUUGCUUACGAAGACUAUAAGAGUAGCUGUUUUAAAGAGCGGUUGGAGACAAAUCAAAUCACAUUUCCCAUAUAUCAUGGCAGGAGUUUCGUGAUGCAUUUGUUGCACAGAGCUUUUCAGUAACCUUGGAACUAUGAAGCAAGAUAAAGCCUUUAAGUCUUGUUCAACUGCGAUGCGUGAGGGAGCAACCCCCACCUGCUGCUACGGAUCAAAACUCUGGUCUACUCGAUGUUUCAUAUGUAUUUCCUUUCUAUCUAGUAGAUCAUAGCAACUAGAAACUUGAUUUGACAUUGUAUUAAUACAAAUUUGUUCUUUCUAUUUUAAAUAUGGUGCUGAAUACUUUUCUCAUCUAUAUUGGUUUUUGGUUAAUCUGGAAAGCUGACUAGUUUUAGUAGUUUAUACACCACGGAUUUACAUAACAGAGUUGUAAGGGUUAGGGUGUUAAGCUUUAAGGUAGCCUGCUUUGUAAGCAACUAAACUACUAGUACUGACUGAACCUAUCACCAACCAAAUCUAGAAGACCUGAAAAUACUAGUUAUAGCAGAUAGAGCAACCAUAACCAAACUUGGCAGCAAUGCUCAACUAAUUAAAUAAACGCCCUUCUUUCCUAUUAGGAUAUGAGAACGAAAUAUGAGAGCCUAGUAAAAGAGUUUAAGCAUAUGCCUGUAUAAGGAAGAUUUGAGCCAUCGCCAUAUUAUUAUCUACAUUUCUUGGUUUUCCUUUACUAACAUUCAGAACGUACUGCAUAUAUUGGAUAGCGUAUUUUGAGAAGUUGUGUCAUUCUUCUUUACCCUCAUCAACUUUAGGUCGAUCAUCAUGUUAGUCUUUCUUCUUUCAAUUUCAUAAAAAACACCCCUCAACUCCCAAUUUUCAUCAGCCGUGUCCAAACCUCCGUUCUCCAUCCAAUUCCUCCAUCAAGUGAUGACGUGGUAUCAAGAAGAAAGUCAAAUUCCGAAAAAAAAAAAAUAACCUUUCUGACCAUUUUUCCCCCCAUAUUGAUACACAUCUCUGUACCCAUCACAACCUCUUAAUCUUAAUGAUUUUUGGUGGGAUUGAAUGCAAUUUUUCUAUUUUGCUUUUUUUCUGUGGGCUCAGUGACUUCAAAUUUGGUUUUUUCUUAAUGUAAAUCAUUACAUGACGGGAGAAUUGGAUGAAAAACGGAUGUUUGAACACGGUUGAUGAAAAAUUAAAAGUUGAGGGGGUNUUUUUGAUGAAAUUGAAAGAAAAAUGACUAANAUGAUGAUCGACUAAAGUUGAUAGGGUAAACUGAAAUUNNNNNNNNNNNNNNNNNNNNUCUCUUGCAGUAUGACGGCUUAGCUUCGUUUUGGUAUUAGGGUUCUGUCUUAAGUAGUCUCCAAGUCUUCAAAGCUUCCUUUUCAGACCAUGUUUCCUUCUUUGACUAGAAUCAAUGUUUGGGCCAGCUUUUGAAUGUCUUCCACAUAUAAUCUGGACUUGGCUUUUGGGAAAAUUAUAUUAAUGAUAUCACUCUUCAAAAUCGUGCAAAAACCCCCAAGAAAGCUUCUCAGAAUCCAGCCCAAACACUGCCUUGAACUUGACUGCUGCACAGCUUUCCCGGAACUGCUGAUUUUCUGUCCAACUUUGGAGCUUCAUAACUCCCAGAUGACAUCACCGAUUUGGAUGAUUCUUGAGUCCAAAUUGAUCUACAAAUGCUCCUCUACAAAUCUGGGAAGUCAUCUUGGUGAAAACUUUCUCGGAACCGCAUGGAAAUUAGCCUUGAAAACCGGAGAAAAUAAGCAGAACCCAUUUUUCAGCUUUUUGUGUUUGCAGCUUCUGUUUUGGUGAAGUGGUUCCAUCGCCUUUCCUUGAUAUUUUUGACCAUAUGAGUAAUCAAUCUCCAUCAAUGACAUCUCUACUUCGUAUUGGAAGCCUUGCUUGCAUUACUUGAGCACAUAUUUGCAUUAUCUUGCUCCACGAAGUACCUAAGAAGAUAACAAAGUUAAAACAAUCUUUUUAAAGGAAAAUAGCCAAGUUAAAUGCAAAGGUUAAACUAUAAAAUUGUCGCAUUUUAUGCUCCUAUCAACUGCGUUUUUCAGUGGAUGAAUAUAAUUCUGUCAAACUUGAACCGUUCAUGUUUAUAACAGAAAAACGCAGUUUUGAGUGCCUUAAUGAUAACCAAAUUGGCUGAAAUUUUGCAUAGAUGAUCUAUACAUUAGUAUCUAAAUAUUAGACGGUGGAGAUGUGAAAAUUAGAUUGAAAGAUGAGUGUAAAAUGGAAAUCCGCACCGUAAGAAUAAAUGCGGACGUCCGCAGCUGAGAAACGCUAUAUGUGUGUGUGUGUAUAUAUACAUUACAGAUGUUUGGAUAUCAGAAUUUUAGUGGUUGAGUUAUCUUUAUUGUACAGAGGUAGGUAGCCAAAUAUACAAGGGCAUUACUCAAGUAAAACUAAACUAGAAUAUUGCGUUAAUGAGAAGGUUAUCACUAACUCAAACGGACUAAAACACAACACAAAUCAAAGUCAAUCAAACUGGAAAUGAGAAAUCUUGACAAAGAACAUAUAUAAGUCUUAAGUUAACACAACAAUCAAACUGGAACCAUAAUUAGGAAUCUCCAAUGUCUGCUUGAGAUAAUGCUCAGAAUCAUAUGAAGCCUUGUGAGAGUGCAUGGUUCUCUGAAGUAUUAACCACGUUAAUAGGAUUCAUCGUCACUGUCAGCAAAGGGGCAGUCCUGGGUCCAGUGUCGAGCCUGCGAGCCACAAACAGUACAGGACUUGAU